AGUCUGGCUUACGUAAAAAUUGUAGGGAAUACUGGGUAAAUCUGGGCCCUUCCUUGGUUACAGACUGGUCACCAAGUAAGGCCUAGACCAAACCACCACAACACUGAAGAGCAGUGGCCCUGAAACUGAGCUCUGGGGAACCCCACUGAUGGCUGACCACCAGCCUGGUGUAACAGCCUUUACUACAACCCUCUGGACCAGACCCCUCCACCAGUUGUUCACCCACCACACUGUGGACUUCUCCAUCUCUGUGCUGGACAUUUUAUCCAGAAGGAUACUGUGAGAGACAGUACCAAAAGCUUUGCUAAAAUCCCAAACCACCACAUCUACCAGCUUCCCUUGGCCAGCUAGAUGGGUGGCCUAGUCAUAAAAGGAAGCUAGCCAUGACUACAGGAUAUCAGUGGGCCCAUAAGUUGACAUUCAAUUGACAAAAACAUCCAAGUUUUACGGCACAUACCUCAAAGAAAACUCUGCUGUAGCAAAAGAAAAGAAGAUUACUUGUGUUUUGUGAUGUGACUGGGUAUCUUCUAGUUUGCAUUUCAAAAUAGGUAAAUAAGUCCCAGAGCAGUCAGAUGAGGAAGAAAGAUGGGUUUAUAUCCCUUCUCAGAAAAUACACACUAGGAAUGCUGGAUCAGGCUGUGGAUCAUCAGUACCAUGGAAGGAACAAGCAUUUAGUGAAUGACUCCAUGGUAUAUUUACAACACGUAAUUCAAGAGCAACUCCACUAAGGAAAUGAUGACCUCUCUCGUCAGCUUUCCUGGAAAUAAGGUUAAUAUAGUAUCUAAA